rnacentral:rRNA from 1 species
AUUGAACGCUGGCGGCAUGCUUUACACAUGCGAGUCGAACGGCAGCACGGACUUCGGUCUGGUGGCGAGUGGCGAACGGGUGAGUAAUACAUCGGAACGUACCCAGUAAUGGGGGAUAACUAUCCGAAAGGAUAGCUAAUACCGCAUACGCCCUACGGGGGAAAGAGGGGGAUCGCAAGACCUCUUGUUAUUGGAGCGGCCGAUGGCUGAUUAGCUAGUUGGUGGGGUAAAGGCCUACCAAGGCAACGAUCAGUAGCGGGUUUUAGAGGACGAUCCGCCACACUGGAACUGAGACACGGUCCAGACUCCUACGGGAGGCAGCAGUGGGGAAUCUUGGACAAUGGGCGCAAGCCUGAUCCAGCAAUGCCGCGUGCGUGAAGAAGGCCUUCGGGUUGUAAAGCGCUUUUGUCAGGGAGCAAAUCCUUGUGGCUAAUACCCACCGGGGAUGAGAGUACCUGAAGAAUAAGGACCGGCUAACUACGUGCCAGCAGCCGCAGUAACAC